UAAAGGAAUUUCUCUGCUUUUGAUUUCACAUGUGGGCCAAAUCCAGAAACAGUAUUAUGAUAAAGUCAGGGAGCUUUUAGAGAUGUAGGAGAUGGUAAAAUAGCACAAAUAUCAUGUCUGCAUUUAUUAAAAAAAAAAAAAAAAAAGCAUUCAUAUGUUUCAAAAGCAGGUCAGUAUUCAGACUAGAGCAGGUUCCUACAAGGAAGAGAUUGUGGGAAUUCUCAUUUUUCAUGGCUAUGUGGAAGGACCACUCCUCCCAUGUGUAGUUUCAAAGAAUGCUCUGGCCCUUUGAAGCUUUAUAAACGUUACCUGAAAUUUGACAAUUUUCACUGAGUCUAUAAGCAGUAUCCACAGUGCACCACUGAAAAAUCAGACUUUUAAUUAUUUCAAGCAUUCCUAACAAAAACUGCAUGUUUUUGGCAGAGUCACCAUGCUUAACCUUGGGCCUUUGACCCAAGAUGCCCCAACGCCACCACUGCUGAACACACAAUUGCAUUCCUUCCCACUCAUGUGAGUUCUGUAAUGACGAUACGCAGCAACAAGAAAUGCUCUGCAGACACUGCCUGUUUAGCAGCACACCCUGCAAAAAGGCGGGGAGUUACAUUCUGGCUAGAGCUAACUGAGCAGCUGUUUUUCAGUUUGAUGGUUAAGAAAAAAUCAGACUUCCACCCAAAUAAAAAAAUGAUUCUGUUACGCUCUAUUCCAUUUUUUCUAAAAUACUUACCCUAUGUGAGGUGACUUCACCUACAUUCAAAAUCCCUUCCACCAGUCCCCAUCAGAUGAGCACUGCAAACUCCUGGCAUUGCCCUGGUUCCUUCUUCAAAUUCACUGACCUUGCCCAACCGUCUCUUAUCUUGUCUGACUCUUCUCUAUGCUUCCACCCUUUGUGCAGAAGAAAAGGAGAAAACACAGGGCCCCACAUUAGAGCCAGAAAAAUAAAAACUUUAAACCAUAAAAGCACACAAACCCCACAUCUAACUGUAGAAAGAAUACGUUCAGCUCAGCUGCAUCUUCCUUAAACCUCCUGGAUUUGUAUUGCAGUGGCAUAGGAACCACAGACAUCCCAUAGAAAUAAUUUUUCUUAUGCUUUGGCUAUAAACAGAGUGGAAAUGUCAAGCUUGUAAUAACCUUCUGAUGAUAAGGAAUCAAAAACAUUAGUUUUAAGCACAACAAAAUCCACACACAUCUUGAAAAAGAGGAGGCAGAAGUGUUCCUGUGAAGAAAGGUUGCUUGUGAAUAUUGCUACAGAAAGUGUAUUUGCAGUGUCCUAGUUACACUGCAAUUAAUAGUAAUUUGACAAAACUUGCUAUAAUUUCUACUGAUAUGAACUUCCAAAACUGACCUAAUAGCAGUGGAAUAUCUCUGGCUGAGAUGCCUUACUCACCUGCAAAAGUCAAUGAUGUUAGAAACAGGCAGGUAACUAAGCACCUGGACAACAUUUCUAGCAUCGCUAAGAAAUUUUAUUUUGAAAGCUUACUCAAAAUUAGAGAUUUUUGUGUUCUUAGGCAGGGGGAGCAGAGGCAUUGCACUGUUCAGGGAAGGACAGUUCACCCAUUAAAAAAAAAUAAAGCUCUGGAAGAACCCAUGGGUGCCACUCUCCUUUAAGCAGGCCUCAUCUCAGAGUGUGCGACCUGUGCCAUAACAACAUUUUCCUUCCCUUGCCUCUGGCUGUUUUGAAAGGAGGCAGGAUGUAUCCAUCUCUUUCAGGAAGGUGGGAGUAACGUGCAUACCAACCAAACCAAAAUAACGAAAAGCAAAACAAGCCAGUUACACCAGACAAACCUUUUUUUGAUUUGUUUUCAAUCUAGGCAGACUCUGACAUAGCUUUGUGGUCAUGAGGAUCGUGAUGUUUCCCUUCCAAUGUCUAUGUGCAAACAAGACCACUCCACGGUUUAUUAUUGCAUAUGCAAAGGUUAACCUGCCCAUUUGCAAUCUUUACAUGAAACAACCCACUGCACUGUUUAAUUCACUUAGUUACCAUGUUUGAGCACUGAUGCAGCUAGAUAGAAAAAAAGGAGCUAUUUAGGAUUACCAAAUAGAAAAAUCCCCCGUUUAGCUCCUCUUCCCUAUGGUGGAACUAGCUUUAAUAGGUACAGCACUGGGAAGUGUAGCUGCCAUUUACUGCCCUAAGAGCAAUAAUGGGCACAAGGCUCGGUGCUUACCAAAAGUCUUUUCAAUCAGCCCGAGAGAUUUUCUAAAAGUUGAGAACUUAUACUAGUAUCAGUAUCAUUUCAUACAGCUGAAUUCAGUUCACCAACCUACUCCGCUCAAUGCAGCCCCGUGGAAAAGCCCCUAAGGCUCAUCAACAGCAGCUUAGAAAAGAAGCCUCAAAUGCAGUAACAAGAUUGAGACACAGAUUUGUAAUUAAACUCAGGAUUUUUCUUGUUGCCAUUUUUGUAACUUAGGAGAAAGGUUAAAAGCAAGUGGAAAGGUCUAAGACAGCUGUUACUGCUGCCCCGCAGGAGUUUCUGUUAAGGCUGCUGUCAUUCUGGGGAGAUGGUGGACAUCUUGGCCUCAACAUUGAUGUUUGGGAGACUAGCAAAAUAACAGAAGAGGACAGACAGUUAAGAGAAGAAACUGCUGAAGGAAGAAAUGAGUUUCAUAUAGCAUUUAUCAAGUUCCCUUAAAGAUUUGUUUACCAGCACUGCCAUCUGAAAACCCCCAGUAUUUCUCCUGAGUGGUAUUGACACUGCUGUCAUUAAAAGUUUCAAAAAACUUUACAGAGCACUAAACUAUCAGAGUAUGUCAAAUCUAAAAGACAAAUAGCACAAAGUGAAAUUUCUUUCAUUGUUUUUUUUUUUUUUUUUUUUUUUUUUUAAAAAAAAAAAAAAAAAAGUUAUUGUCUACAUCUUCUUAUUAAUCAUAGCAGGAAAUCCAGGGAAGUCCAUAAAGCAAGGAGGAGAUACUUUAACCUACUGUAUUUAAAUACCACCAUUUUUCAGACUUCAGAGUGAACUUCAGUUUAUUUCUCAAACGCACUGAGUAUUUGCAAGAAUUAAAGGAAGCCACAAAUUCUUCAUACUAACACAUUAUUUAUGGAAUAGGAACGUACAAAUCCAAAUAAGAAGGUAAAAUUUUCAGUUGAGGGAAUUAUUGACUUGGAGCAACAGACACACAUUUUGGGUGGCUAUUUCAUCAUUUGCAGUCUUCAUAUCAAGAUGGAAGAAUGAGCUCAUGGCCUCCCUUUUGCCUAAAUGUGUUAACUUUGGAGGCUGUUACAGAAAAAGAGGACCCAAAAGCCCCUUAGCACAAGCAUCACAGAAAGAAAACCCAGCAGGUUAACAGCCACGAAUUGUCUGAUGUGGAAAACACUAGAUGAGAGCCUAGGAUUUUUUAUUCAGGUGAGUGUCACAGCAUUUCCUUCCAGUCUUAAACUUUCCUUUUCCUUCCAAGAGGUUUACAAAUCUGUUUCAAGUCAGAGUCACUAAAGGUUAAAUUGAAUAUUCUUUGUCAUAUUUUUCUCUCCACUUCUAGAAGAGGCUAAUCUGCAAGUGUGUUGGAUGAGAUUUUUUGCCCUGCUUCUGUCUCUUCCUUGAUCUCAGUGAGUGCUGCCCAGGAAUCCUGCAUUUUUGUACACGUUGAAAUUUGCAUUUACAUGUUGUCUUUUAUGUUGCUGGAAGCACAUCUCCCAUCCCUGUGGCAAAACCUUUGAGUUUUGAGUGCAGUGCUCUAAAAGCAACGUCAGUGCUGCCACGGCAGCAGUGCAGCUACCACAUCAUGCAGUGGUUCAGCUGGCAGCUGAAGGGGCCCAGAUGUUUGCUCCAUGCUGCAGGAAAAUAUCCCCCUGAACACUGAAGUUCAGGUCGGUAUGAUACGUUUCCGUGGACAGUAUCUUCUGAUCACUUGCUAUAGAGAUUAAUGCAUUAACGACCAAUGGUAUUCCUCUGCAGAUGCUAAACUGACUUUCAAGUAUUUCUGAUACAUUACAUGUAAAAUUGCCCAAUUCAAAGAAGUCAAGAAUUUGUGCCACUGUAGGGUAGUAAACUAUUGGAUUCCAUUUGGGGAAGCUUUGCUGUGCUGAAGAAGAGAGAGAGAAAUACAACAUGCUUUUCAAAUAAAAGGGAGUUUGACAGAUGUGCUUUUAGUCUUUCAUACAUAUUAUGACUGGGCAUUUUGCUUUGCUUAUCUGUCAUUAUCCAUGGUAUUUUAUUCAGACAUAGACUGCUCAUUUUGGAAUAGUGAAGUGCAAUAUUGAAAAGGUUAGAGACUUCUUCUAACUACACCAUGCCCAUUAGGUUACUAUCUGAGCACUAGGCAUGUUAUAAAUAACGCAUGAUUUAAUCCCUGUGCGUUUUUGGAAACAAAAACAAAACCACUACAAUAUACUACAGAAUAAAAGGAGGGAAGAGAAACACAUUUCUGUAAAUACAUCCAAAUGCUAUAAACUACCUCAUCAAUAACUUUUGUAAUACACUGAGCUGAACAAGCAAUGGCUAGUGAAUAAUUUAGUAAGUUUUGGCAGUUUCUACUCCAGAACUGACCAUCAGCAGUUUAGAUUUUCUCCAGCACAUUUGUUGUACAAAAUUUCUCCUAAAUAAUUUUUUAUGAAUAACUAUCGGUCUUCAGAGCAUUUGUUAGCAGUUCAUUGUGACUCAGAUUAAACCUGAGCUCUUUCAGUUUUAGCUAGGUGUACCAAUCACAUAGUAUUAUUUCCUUUUCUUGAUAUAACACUAUGGACCUACUGUCUACUUUUCUAAUUUGCAAUCCAUCGCCUAAUCCAGUGUGAUGAUCACUAAUCUUUAUGAUUUGUAUACUCUGAUUUGCAAGUAUGUAAUUACUUUCCUGAAUAAAGAUAAGUGUAAUAUUUGCUUUAA